UACUAGAGUAGCACUCGCAUAUCAAUAAGCGGAGGAAAAGAAACUAACAAGGAUUCCCUUAGUAACGGCGAGUGAAGCGGGAAGAGCUCAAAUUUGAAAUCUUCAAGGUUUUACCUUGACGAAUUGUAGUUUAAAGAAGUGUUUUCUGUUGAAGUUUUGGUAAAAGUUCUUUGGAAUAGGACAUCAUAGAGGGUGAGAAUCCCGUAUUUGACCAUUAUUUUCAGCUGUGUGAUACACUUUCAAAGAGUCGGAUUGUUUGGGAAUGCAGUCCAAAAUGGGUGGUAAAUUUCAUCUAAAGCUAAAUAUUGGCGAGAGACCGAUAGCGAACAAGUACCGUGAGGGAAAGAUGAAAAGAACUUUGAAAAGAGAGUUAAACAGUACGUGAAAUUGUCAAAAGGGAAGCGUUUGACACCAGUGUUGUUUUCUCGAAAAUCAAUUAAAAAAAGUUGGAUUUUGUGUUGUAUUGACCUUAACAGCUUUCUUCACUCUUUUCCUGCUUUUUUUAAUGCACUUUUCGUUUAACAAGUCAACAUCAGUUUCUUUUGUUGUAAAAAGGUCAUUGGAAGGUGGCUUUCUUUUCGGAGAAAGUGUUUAUAGCCUUUGAUCCCUGCAAUCGGAGAGACUGAGGUCUGCAGCGUAGAUCCUUCGGGGUUAGAUACAUUUGUGCUAAGUUAUAGCUUUUUAUAGGACAACUUGUUGACUAUAUUUAGUCUUGUAGCUUACUCGCUUAUGCUAUUUUACCUACGCUUAGGAUGUUGAUAGUCACAGCGUGUAC
rnacentral:rRNA from 1 species